UGCAGCUUCAAGUUCAAAAGUGAAAAAAGGACAAACCACAGAGAAGAAAUCCCUCAAUUCUGGGCAGCUGUCCUCCUCUGAGAAGCACAUCAGGGAUAACAAAGAUCAGUGCCAUGGUGAUAAUGCUGAGAAAAUGAAAACAAGCAGCUCCUCUAAACCUCUGGAAUCUUCCUCCUCUUCGGUUUCCACCGCUGAAUGCCAUCAUCACUGCAGCAAAGUAAAGAAACAGGAGUUGAAACGUUCAUCCCUCCCUCGUUACCGCUGGCUCAAAUCCUUCGAGUGCAGAGAUGCUGAAGCCUCUGCUAUU